CCUACGGGAGGCGGCAGUGGGGAAUAUUGCACAAUGGGGGGAACCCUGAUGCAGCGACGCCGCGUGGGUGAGGAAGUACUUCGGUAUGUAAAGCCCUAUCAGCAGGGAAGAAAAUGACGGUACCUGACUAAGAAGCCCCGGCUAACUACGUGCCAGCAGCCGCGGUAAUACGGAGGGGGCCAGCGUUAUCCGGGUAUUCUGGGUGGAAAGGGAGCGUAGACGGGGUGUCAAGUCUGAUGGGAAAGGCCGGGGGCCAACCCCGGGACUGCAUUGGAAACUGGCAUGCUGGAGUGCCGGAGGGGCAAGCGGAAUUCCUAGUGUAGCGGUGAAAUGCGUAGAUAUACGGAGGAACACCAGUGGCGAAGGCGGCCUGCUGGACAAUAACUGACGCUGAGGCGCGAAAGCGUGGGGAGCAAACAGGAUUAGAUACCCCGGUAGUC
rnacentral:rRNA from 1 species